ACACUCCUACGGGGAGGCAGCAGUGGGGAAUAUUGCACAAUGGGCGCAAGCCUGAUGCAGCCAUGCCGCGUGUAUGAAGAAGGCCUUCGGGUUGUAAAGUACUUUCAGCGGGGAGGAAGGCAAUACGGUUAAUAACCGUGUUGAUUGACGUUACCCGCAGAAGAAGCACCGGCUAACUCCGUGCCAGCAGCCGCGGUAAUACGGAGGGUGCAAGCGUUAAUCGGAAUUACUGGGCGUAAAGCGCACGCAGGCGGUCUGUCAAGUCGGAUGUGAAAUCCCCGGGCUCAACCUGGGAACUGCAUUCGAAACUGGCAGGCUUGAGUCUUGUAGAGGGGGGUAGAAUUCCAGGUGUAGCGGUGAAAUGCGUAGAGAUCUGGAGGAAUACCGGUGGCGAAGGCGGCCCCCUGGACAAAGACUGACGCUCAGGUGCGAAAGCGUGGGGAGCAAACAGGAUUAGAAACCCUUGUAGUCCCAUG
rnacentral:rRNA from 1 species